UGUCGGUAUUCCUAGCCUGAUUUUCUUGAUGGAGCCGAAUAUCUAGGGACUGCUGUCACUGAUGGGUAUCUACGCAAUGCAUGGGAGAAGAUCGACACUAUGUGGUACUAUGAGAAUGUUUAUACGAAGAGGCCUGUCAGAUGAGAUUUUAACGAUGGUAUUUCCACUCAUGUGAUAACUUUUGACGUAGGCGCAGUGCUUUUGGAUGAUUCAGUGACUCAAGCUCCUGCGUACUGCUUCAACCAGGAGAUCAAGAACAUUUAAAUUUUAGUUUUAAGGUGGUGCUUCUGCUUGAAGAUGGAGGUGACUUUCCCAGUUUAGUCACGAACAAGGUCACUGGUACGAAUUAUCCAAAAAAGAAAAUGAAAGGGGGGAAAUUGUCUAUUGAUCCCCCUCAUUAUCAGUUAUGUAUUUAUAUAUUACAAUUUUAAUUUACCUCUCCUUCGGUAUUUUCUGUUGACCUGUGCUAUUGCAUGCCUUGCUGA